rnacentral:rRNA from 1 species
GUAGGUGGCAAGCGUUGUCCGGAAUUAUUGGGGCGUAAAGCGCGCGCAGGCGGUUCUUUAAGUCUGAUGUGAAAGCCCACGGGCUCAACCGUGGAGGGUCAUUGGAAACUGGAGAACUUGAGUACAGAAGAGGAAAGCGGAAUUCCACGUGUAGCGGUGAAAUGCGUAGAGAUGUGGAGGAACACCAGUGGCGAAGGCGGCUUUCUGGUCUGUAACUGACGCUGAGGCGCGAAAGCGUGGGGAGCAAACAGGAUUAGAUACCCUGGUAGUCCACGCCGUAAACGAUGAGUGCUAAGUGUUAGGGGGUUUCCGCCCCUUAGUGCUGCAGCUAACGCAUUAAGCACUCCGCCUCGGGAGUACGGCCGCAAAGGCUG